CCUACGGGAGGCAGCAGUGGGGAAUAUUGCGCAAUGGGGGAAACCCUGACGCAGCAACGCCGCGUGAGUGAGGAAGGACUUCGGUCUGUAAAGCUCUGUUAAUGAGGAAAAAUGGUAGUUGGUCUAAUAGGCCGAUUAUUUGAUGGUACUCAUAGAGGAAGCACCGGCUAACUUCGUGCCAGCAGCCGCGGUAAUACGAAGGGUGCAAGCGUUGUUCGGAUUUAUUGGGCGUAAAGCGCGCGUAGGCGGACCUGCAAGUAAGAUAUGAAAUCUCGAGGCUCAACCUCGAAACUGCGUCUUAAACUACAGGUCUAGAAUCUCGGAGGGGGAAGGGGAAUUUCGCAUGUAGGGGUAAAAAUCCGUAGAUAUGCGAAGGAACACCAGAGGCGAAGGCGCCUUCCUGGACGAGUAUUGACGCUGAGGCGCGAAAGCGUGGGGAUCAAACAGGAUUAGAUACCCUGGUAGUCCACGCUGUAAACGAUGAACACUAGGUAUUGGAGGAUUUGACCCCUUCAGUGCCGUAGCUAACGCGUUAAGNGUUCCGCCUGGGAAAGUACGGUCGCAAGCUAAAACUUAAGGAAUUGACGGCNGAGAGNGCGAGACGACGACGAGGAGAG
rnacentral:rRNA from 1 species